rnacentral:lncRNA from 1 species
UAUAACUGUCAAUGCCUACCAGCAUAGCCGACGGGGCUAGAGUUCCAAUCAACUUGGUAAAGCACUCUUCAUUCCACAAAGGGAGCGGCAAUCCGUAACACCUCACCCAAACUGAUUUAUGACUUGGGCCACUGGAGGCCGACCAAGGCUUAAAGCUUUCAAACAUAGAGUCAACCCACUCAUUAUUGACCUUUAUGAAAUUCUCCAUUUUCUCCCCUUCUCUUGGUGUUAGCAGAACAAAAUUGUCCCCUAAAGCU